rnacentral:piRNA from 1 species
UGGUCCAUGUGGAAUAGAUAUGGAUGGU